rnacentral:rRNA from 1 species
UACGGAGGGUGCGAGCGUUAUCCGGAAUUACUGGGCUUAAAGGGUGCGUAGGCGGCGCUGUAAGUCAGGAGUGAAAGUUUGCGGCUCAACCGUAAAAUUGCGUUUGAUACUGCGGUGCUGGAAUUAGGAUGAGGUCAGCGGAAUGUGGCAUGUAGCGGUGAAAUGCAUAGAUAUGCCAUAGAACACCAAUUGCGAAGGCAGCUGGCUAGACCUGGAUUGACGCUGAGGCACGAAAGCGUGGGGAGCGAACAGG